GAUGAACGCUAGCUACAGGCUUAACACAUGCAAGUCGAGGGGUAACGAUAUUGGAAGCUUGCUUCCGAUAGGCGUCGACCGGCGCACGGGUGAGUAACGCGCAUCCAACCUGCCCAUCACUUGGGGAUAACCUUGCGAAAGUAAGACUAAUACCCAAUGACGUCUCUAGAAGACAUCUGAAGGAGAUUAAAGAUUUAUCGGUGAUGGAUGGGGAUGCGUCUGAUUAGCUUGUUGGCGGGGUUACGGCCCACCAAGGCGACGAUCAGUAGGGGUUCUGAGAGGAAGGUCCCCCACAUUGGAACUGAGACACGGUCCAAACUCCUACGGGAGGCAGCAGUGAGGAAUAUUGGUCAAUGGGCGAGAGCCUGAACCAGCCAAGUAGCGUGCAGGAAGACGGCCCUAUGGGUUGUAAACUGCUUUUAUAAGGGAAUAAAGUGGGAGUCGUGACUCCUUUUGCAUGUACCUUAUGAAUAAGGACCGGCUAAUUCCGUGCCAGCCGCCGCAGUAA
rnacentral:rRNA from 1 species